UUCGCUGACGAGUGGCGGACGGGUGAGUAAUGUCUGGGAAACUGCCUGAUGGAGGGGGAUAACUACUGGAAACGGUAGCUAAUACCGCAUAACGUCGCAAGACCAAAGAGGGGGACCUUCGGGCCUCUUGCCAUCGGAUGUGCCCAGAUGGGAUUAGCUAGUAGGUGGGGUAACGGCUCACCUAGGCGACGAUCCCUAGCUGGUCUGAGAGGAUGACCAGCCACACUGGAACUGAGACACGGUCCAGACUCCUACGGGAGGCAGCAGUGGGGAAUAUUGCACAAUGGGCGCAAGCCUGAUGCAGCCAUGCCGCGUGUAUGAAGAAGGCCUUCGGGUUGUAAAGUACUUUCAGCGGGGAGGAAGGGAGUAAAGUUAAUACCUUUGCUCAUUGACGUUACCCGCAGAAGAAGCACCGGCUAACUCCGUGCCAGCAGCCGCGGUAAUACGGAGGGUGCAAGCGUUAAUCGGAAUUACUGGGCGUAAAGCGCACGCAGGCGGUUUGUUAAGUCAGAUGUGAAAUCCCCGGGCUCAACCUGGGAACUGCAUCUGAUACUGGCAAGCUUGAGUCUCGUAGAGGGGGGUAGAAUUCCAGGUGUAGCGGUGAAAUGCGUAGAGAUCUGGAGGAAUACCGGUGGCGAAGGCGGCCCCCUGGACGAAGACUGACG
rnacentral:rRNA from 1 species